AUUGAACGCUGGCGGCAGGCCUAACACAUGCAAGUCGAGCGAGAGGCGGACGGGUGAGUAAUGUAUGGGGACUGCCCGAUAGAGGGGGAUAAAUACUGGAAACGGUGGCGAAUACCGCAUAUUGUCGGAUAACCCAUAUGUGAUUAGCGAGUGGGUAAGGUAAUGGCUUACCUAGGCGACGAUCCCUAGCUGGUCUGAGAGGAUGAUCAGCCCAACUGGGACUGUGACACGGCCCAGACUCCUACGGAGGCAGCAGUGGGGAAUAUUGCACAAUGGGCGGAAGCAUGAUGCAGCCAUGCCGCGUGUAUGAAGAAGGCCCUAGGGUUGUAAAGUACUUUCAGUCGGGAGGCGUUACCGACAGAAGAAGCACCGGCUAACUCCGUGCCAGCAGCCGCGGUAAUAC
rnacentral:rRNA from 1 species